AGGGGAAGGGCCCUAGAGCCGUGGGGAGAGGCAGCCCGUGGCCUGGAGCAGUGGUUGGUGACCUUUGGAGUGGCGGUUGGGCGGUUGGGCGGUUGCAUGGGGCGGCCUGGGACUCGGGGGCGGGGUCAGUCAUAUAAGGCUGUGCCCAGCGCUUUUGGAAGCAGUAAGUCCAGCCCGAGGCUAAGGUGAGAGCGUCUGCCGGGACAGUGUGGCUGGACCCACGUGGCAGGGUGGAUCGGGCGGAGGCCGUCAAGCUAGCCGGAAGGGGCUGUGCUGUCAACCAGCGAGCGCAGGAGGUGUUAACCACCGAAGGGAGGUAGAAUGUUUUUCCCCACCAGAGGAGGCAGCGACCACGUCUCCUCUAUGGAGGCAUUCAAGAGCCGUCCAGCUGAAGCAGCAUCACUGUCUGAGCUCGGAAGGCACAAUCCACAUAGGUCUGCAUGGUCCACCGAGCUGCAUACCCACGGGGCCAGCGGGAGGUGGGCAGCUGCUGGGCUCUCUUCUGAAGCAGACAGGAUCUCACUCUGUUGCUGAGGCUGGAUCACAGCUCCCUGCAACCUUGAACUCUCCCUCAAGCAAUUCUCCCCACUCUGCCUUCCAAAGCACUAGCAUUAUAGGCCUAAGCCACCACUCCCAUCCACUGUAGUGUAAACUGUCUCCUUCAAUGUUUCCAAUAGUUGCGGAGCAGAUCAGAUAAGGGUUCUUCCUGUCUGUUGCUUCAAGUUUCAUUCUCUCUUUAAACAAUACAAGGUUGGCUUCCAUGGUUCCUUCUUAAAGAAUGUUGAAGGUGUGUCUUCAGAUUCAUUUAGUGUUCGUGGAACCCCAGGGAAAGCUGAUGUAAAAACCUCUUUUUUCUCCCAUAUGUCUCAAAAAGUUGUAUUUUCUGGGUCCAAGGGAUCUGCAAGCCUCCUAAAGGCAUUUCCAUUGUCACUACCACCAGGUGUGAACUGUAAUCUGGCACGUAUAGUUCCAAGAACUGUCAUAAUAGAUGCUGAAGAAACAUUGUGAAGUUAACUCGCUGUUACCAACUGUGAAGUCAUUAGCUAGAGGAAUCUUGGGCGGUCUGAAAUCUGAGAUACUGUGGAAAGAACAGAAAGAUCCUGUAUCUUUCCUAUAAUUGUUCUACUGGAAGUUGUCAUUUUACACAGGAGACAUUCUGUUUUAUUUAUUUUCUUUUGAGACAGGGUCUCACUCUGUCGCCCAGGCUGGAGUGCAGUGUUGUUACCACAGGUCACUGGUGCCUCCACUGCCUGAGGACUGCUCAAGCAAUCCUCCUGCCUCAGUCCCCUGAGGAGCUGGGGCCACAGGCCUGCACCACCAUGCCUGGCUAAUUAUUUUUAUUUGUAGAGACAAAGUCUAUCUUGCCUAGGCUGAUCUCGAACUCCUGGGCUCAAGUAAUCCUCCCGCGGUGGCUUCUCAAAGUGCUUGGGAUUACAGAUGGUCUUGCUCUGUCACCCAGUCUGGAAUGCAGUGGUGCCAUCAUAGCUCACUACAGCCUGAGCUGUACUGAGCUCGAGGGAUCUUCCCGUCUCCGCCUCCUAAGCAGCUGGGACUACAGGUACUUGCCCCCAGGCCCAGAUAAUUUAUUUAAAAACUUUUUUUGUAGAGACAGGGUCUCACUAUGUUGCCCAGGCUGGUCUCAAACUCCUGGCCUCAAACAAUCCUCUACCUCAACCCCCCUAAGUGCUGGCAUUACAGGCAUCAGCUGCCAUGCCUGGCUACAAAUCUUAAUGUUUUCCCCAUGGCUUCUUUUUCUGGCGUUCUUUUCUCAGGUAAUGGAAGUGGGCAGAGAAUGAUCCUUUCCCUAGGCUCCAGUGUGUAAGAAUUAAAGAAAGAGGAAAGAAACACAAUGGCUUGAUGGUCGAGGACAGGUUUAUUUUAAAGAAAACAAACCCAAGAGUGGCUUCUGGCUGAGUUAGAUCAGAGAAGAGAAGUGAUUUUCUUGAAAUGCAUGAGGCUGGAAAGGGAGCUGGCACUUAAAGUGGCGGUGUUUGUCCGAGAGGAUGGUGCUCCUGCUCUGUCACAGUGGGCAUGGGGAUUCAGGCCACUGCCACCGAAUUUCAAGAGCCCAAGCACAGAGCCCAGAACUAAAUUGUGAGGGUUUAAAAAAAAAAAAAGCUUUAUUGAAGUAUAAUUGACAUACAAUAAACUUGAAUAUUUAAAGUGUACAAUUUAUGCGUUUGGGCAUUUGUAUAUACCCCUGCAACCAUCAGCACACUGAAGAUAAGGAAUAUACCCAUUACCCCUGAAAAUUUCCCCAUGCCCUUUGGAGCCCCUCCCUUCAACCCCUCAAAUACUUAAUGCGCUUUUUCCCGAAAGGCAAGAAGAAAGCUUCCCUACACAUUUAUCAAGGCUGUUAUAAUCCUGACUCCCAAACAAGGUAAGGAAAUUGUUAGACACUUAGAGAACACUUUCAACUAUUGUAUUCAGAUGUUAAAAUCCUCAGUAAAAUUCCCAUAACAGUUAAUUGAACAAACCAAUUAUGCAAAAACAUACAAUCAACUAUAAUUGCACCCUAUAGACUCCCCUUUUUAUUCUCUAAUGUGUUAUAUUCCACUAAAUCUUUCUUCAUCUUGCCAGUUUUUCUUCUAAUUUCCCUGCAGCUAUAAUUUUGGCUGAUGCUAUAGUUUGAAUAUUUGACCCUCCAAACCUCAUGUUGAAAUUUAGUCCCCAGUGUUGGAGGUGGGGCCUGGUGGAAGGUGUUUGGGUCAUGGGGGUGGAUCACUCAUGAACGGCUUGGUGCUGUUCUCAUGGCAAUGAGUGAGUUCUCACAUAAUCAGUUCCCUCCAGAGCUGGUUAUUAAAGAGAGCCUGGCAUCUCCCCUCUGUCUCUCUUGCUUCCUGUCUCAUCAUGUAAUGUCUGCACACACUGGCUCCCCUUCUGCCAUGAGUGGAAACUCCUGGAAGCCCUCACCAGAAGUAGAUGCUGUUGCCAGCAGAACCACGAGUCAAAUAAACCUAUUUUUAUAAAUUACCCAGCCUCAGGUAUUCCUUUAGAGCAACACAUAUGGACUAAGACAGUGAUGUUCUCAAUUUACCCUGACAUUGCAUGCAGGCCGGCUGUUUCCUCUUAAGUUCCCGGAGUGGGAAUGUGUUCCGGACAAAGGAUGCUAGUGAGUGGCAGUC
rnacentral:lncRNA from 10 species